UACAGAGGGUGCAAGCGUUGUCCGGAUUUAUUGGGUGUAAAGGGUGCGUAGGCGGGACGAUAAGUCCGAGGUGAAAGCCCGCAGCUUAACUGCGGAACUGCCUUGGAUACUGUCGACCUUGAGUCCCGGAGGGGUGGCUGGAAUUCCUGGUGUAGCGGUGAAAUGCGUAGAUAUCAGGAGGAACACCGGAGGUGUAGACGGGUCACUGGACGGGUACUGACGCUGAGGCACGAAAGCGUGGGGAGCAAACAGGG
rnacentral:rRNA from 1 species